GCUGAAGUGGGGGAGAGGUCAAACCCGCCAGACUUAAGAUUAUUGUCGGUUAAGGGCGAUACUAAGAGCGAAACUCAAACCUCUCUUGAUCGUGAGAUAUCUGGUCCCGAGGAAACUAUCGUUGGUUCAAAUCCAACCUUCAGCACCA
rnacentral:tRNA from 1 species